rnacentral:lncRNA from 1 species
GAACGGAAUCAAGCGAAUGAGAGCGCGUGAGUGUGUGUGUGGAGAGAACGGAAUCAAGCGAAUGAGAGCGCGUGAGUGUGUGUGUGGAGAGAGAACGGAAUCAAGCGAAUGAGAGCGCGUGAGUGUGUGUAGAGAGAACGGAAUCAAGCGAAUGAGAGCGCGUGAGUGUGUGUGUGGAGAGAGAACGGAAUCAGGCGAAUGAGAGCGCGUGAGUGUGUGUGUGGAGAGAGAGAACAGAGUCAAGCGAAUGAGAGCGCGUGAGUGUGUAUGUGGAGAGAGAGAACGGAAUCAAGCGAAUGAGAGCGCGUCAGUGUGUGUGUGGAGAGAGAGAACGGAAUCAAGCGAAUGAGAGCGCGUGAGUGUGUGUGUGGAGAGAGAACAGAGUCAAG